GAAACAAACAGAACUUUCACACCAUAGCCUGGCCAGUCAUGAAACUGGUUUUCAAAACUUCUCUAAUGGGCAGCGCACCCUGCUGCGCUCUUCCAACUGCCCUGGUGUCUGGCUGCUCUAAAUUGGCUGC